rnacentral:tRNA from 1 species
GGUUCAAAUCCCUCCUAUACUA